GACAGAGGGUGCAAACGUUGCUCGGAAUUACUGGGCGUAAAGCGCGUGUAGGCGGACCUGUAAGUUGGACGUGAAAGCCCUGGGCUCAACCCAGGAAUUGCAUCCAAAACUACAGGCCUAGAGUGAUGGAGAGGGCAGCAGAAUUCCUGGUGUAGAGGUGAAAUUCGUAGAUAUCAGGAGGAACACCGGUGGCGAAGGCGGCUGCCUGGACAUCAACUGACGCUGAGGGACGAAAGCUAGGGGAGCGAAUGGG
rnacentral:rRNA from 1 species